AUUUUAUUAUAUGGUAACAAUGAUUUUGUAGUCAACUUGGAAAGGAUGUAAACUACCAAUACAAUACAGAAGGAGUUUUCUAUGGACCUGAUGGAAUAGAACUUACUUUGGAAGAAAGAAAAUGGCUUGAUGACAUGACUGACUUUUGUAGUGAUGGAUCUGACACUGAUCUGGAUUUAAAUCCGGAAAUGGACGAAGAAAUGCAGAUAGCCUACAAACAGUUCUUAAGGCAGAAGAAUUCUUCAUAAUUGUGACACAAAAAUUUUAUGUUGUGAGUAAUUAACAAAAAACUAGAAUAAUUGCAAAAAAAUGUGAUCUACAUUGCAUUGAUUGUUCUUUCUGUUAAAGUCUCUUUAUCGCAUUGUUUAUUUAUUGUAAAUUUCACAUUCAUUUUUUAAACGAUAUAAACAUUAUGAUGGUAGUAAUAGCCUUGUGUGUUUGUUGUAAAAUUUUUAUCAUCUAAUACCUGCACACAAACAAGCUAUUUUUAUAAUUAGACACAUCAUCCACAUAAUGAACACAAUUUACCAUAGAAAUGUUAUGAACUUCCCCAUGCACAUAAUAAAAAAAAA